rnacentral:rRNA from 1 species
GCCGGGGUUUCUUUACCAGAUACUGUCAUUAUCAUCUCUGGCGAAAGAGCUUUACGACCCUAGGGCCUUCAUCACUCACGCGGCAUGGCUAGAUCAGGCUUGCGCCCAUUGUCUAAGAUUCCCC